GAGACCAAUGAAGGUGGAACUGUCUUCACUGGGCUUUUCUUACCAACGAUGUCUAUUCCUCAUGCCCAGAAAACAGUGGUCCAUGAGAUGUCUGUCCACAGGCUGUUAGCAGGGUACAGCAGCAAUUUCUUAAAUUCUUCUAUAUCUCUUCUGAAGUGUAAGGCUGGCAUUUUCUGGGUGUAUCUCAGUGUAGGCACAUUUAUACCUUUGGUAAUUUCCCAGCUGAAUUUCUGCUUAAACUGAGUUGAUAUAGAUGGGCAUAAAACACACACACUUUAGAGCUCUCCUCAUACUCUUCUUUACCUCUAGGUGUGGUAGUCUGUCAUUGUGAAGGGAUUUCAUUACUCUUUGCAGAGGAAUUAGCCUGUGCAAGAAAAAGGUCAUAUUCUCAGUAAUGAAAAGGAUCCGUCUGUGUGCAGGCAUUGCUAGAAAGUCAUGAGACAUUGGGAAGAGUCUGAAAAUAGGAUUGGGAUGCAUGGAAAUGGAGAAGGUUUGCAGUGCAAAGAGGCAAAACUCUCCUGGUUUAGUUGUGCUAUGUUGUCUUCUUACACGCCAAAGCGAUUUCCUGCUUACCAGGUAAUUUUAAGAUACCUUUUUUUUACUGCAGCACUUAAAACUAGUUACUGAAGACUAAAUGGACUAUAUAGAAGUGAAUAUUUCUACAAACAUAAGUGAAGAAAUAAAAGACAGAUUUACUCUUCUUACACCCAGAUUAAAUCAGAAAGGUCUCUGUCUCCCUUUAUCUUGCAGAUUUGCUCUAAAUGCUUUCCUGAUGCACACCUUCUAGGAAUUCUUUUAUCUGUACAUGUCUUACAUUUCAGGUUCACAUGCAUCAAAGGGAACCUCUUCCCGGCAGAAAGCAUUAGCUUAUCAGAGCUGAUCUUUAGCAAGUCUCUCAAAGGAUCUGAAUGGGUUUAAUCUUUAUCCUCAACAUAUGUACUUCUUUUCCUCUCAUAGUUAUUCCGUAUGUUUUCAGUCAUUUAACUAAAAUGAGAGGUCUUAGUAUCUUAGACCAAGUGUCAUCUCCUACAGCAUAGUGUCUAUUCAAUAGCUCUUUGACUUAAUGAAGAUCACUUUGUCUCUGAUUCUUUGUCUCCAUCCAUGGAAUUUUAUGUUUUAUAUUUGAUUGUGCUGUAUUUUAUAGCUGUGCAUCAUGAUAUAAAAUAUGCUUAGUCUAAACAUCUAAAUGUUGCAGAGGUAUGCAGGUCACUGAGACCAGUUAGGACAGUAAUUAUGUAGUUUAGAUAGAAUCAUAGAUUUGGGAUGACUAAGCCUUACUAACUUUGUAACAGUAACUGGCAGGAAUAAGACUGGGAGAGAUUCCUAGGGAAAUAAACUCAGAGUCUUGAUGAAGGAUACUGGGAAAUCAGGAAAAAAGGGCAGAGAAAGAACUCAAAGAAGCCUUCAGGUCAAAAAGGUAGAGGAGGUGGCCUGAGGAAACCAAUUUCAAAAUCCACCCACUGUAGCCAAAAAGAAGAGGUGAAAAGGAGAAAAGCAUAGAAAGUGAAGGAGAGCAAAAUCAUAAGAUGAACACUUUGAAGGUGAAUGUCCAAAAGAAGAAAAGUCAAUGCAUAAGUGAAAGUAGGGCGUGAAGAUGAUUGUAAAUAGUGUGUCAAUUUAGAUGAUUUAUCUUUUUCAGAUUUUUCUCAUUUUUAUCUGAGUGGAAGCAGAACUUCACAAAGUAAAGAUUGAGAUUGAAGAGAUACUCCAUGUAUGUAUGUGUAUACAUAGGUGUAAAUGGAUAGUCAUGGAGAAGAGUAUUGUCCUGCCACAAUGUGUGUUUUACUGGUGACUCAUGGAUGUUGAAGUCAUAAUGGCAGGGUGAACUGCGUCAUUCUAGAUUUUGGAGGUCUGCAGUGACCUCCUCUGAGAUGGUUUUCUAAGUGUCUUUCUGUUAUUGGUGGAAAGAAAUAACCUCUUUUAAGGUGUGCUUCAUUCAAUUUCCUCCAUCCUCUCAGGAUUACAUGCAUCCUGUCACAGAUUAGUGUUAUUUCUCUCUAUUGAGUAAAAAUCUUAUUUAGACCACUAACUCAAAUAUGGACCACUACACUCCACAAGUCAUUCCUCGCAGUGAGAUAAGUCCUAUUUGAAGGAGAGACCUUCUCUCUCUCUACAACUGCCUGAAAGGAGGUUGUCGCAUGGAGGGUGUUGAUCUCUGCUCCCAAGUAACAAGUGAUAGGACAAGAGGAAAUGGCCUCAAGUUGCACCAGGGAAGGUUCAGGUUGGAUAUUAGGAAACAUUUCUUCAUGGAAAGGGUUGUCAGGCAUUGGAACAGGCUGCCCAGGGCAGUGGUGGAGUCACCAUCCCUGGAUGUGUUUAAAAGACAUGUAGAUGAGGCUCCUAGGGACAUGGUUUAGUGCUAGAGUUAAGUUGGGUUGUGGUUGGACUUAAUGAUCUUAAGGGUCUCUUCCAACCAAAAUGAUGCUAUGAUUCUAUGAAAGGUGUUCCAUCAAUACCUAUUCUGUUUUGCGAUGUAUACAAGAAUAUUGACAUUUUUCAUUAUAAUUACUCUAUGUUGACCAUGUAAAAAGGAAAUAUCAUAUUCUCCUUCCCCGAGACACUGUUUUUUACUUCCCUCCUGCCUUUCUUUUAGCAUAGGAGACACGUUAGGGAUUCCAUUUUUGCAGCUCAGCUCAUUGCAAAGGAGAACUAGUACAGAAAAAUGACUGACAAUACCUAGGAUAGUUCUAUAUGAUUCCCUUGUCAUUUAAUACCUUUCCAGGAGAUAUUAGAUAUGCCCAUUUGUCUGAAUGCAGCUGCUGCCAAAACCAGUGGUGCCAGUCCCAUAAGCUUCUGGAUGCAGGGGGACUGCUUCUUUCUCUGUGAAAACAUUUAUUAAAAAAGACACUAUGAUGGCUGAAGUUAUCUUGGGGAUCUCUAUAGCUUGAUAUGUUUGACUGAUAACCUGCUUCAGAUAUUGCCAGAAACUGGCUGAGCUUCAGAAAUACCAGGUUUCUUCUCCACAGAGUCUGAGUGGGAACUGUCUCCUGGGAACACCAUCUGAGAAGGUCUUUGGGGCCUCCAUUGCGGCUCCUACUUGACUGGGCUGCUGGAUGUCUAGGAGCUUUGAACAAAAAAUGGAGGUCAGUGACAAAAUAAACAAGGGGUCAGGGAAUAGGUUACCCCCCAAAACAGCAGGAUAGACAAGGAUGUGAACAGGACUAUAUUUUAUACCUUCUUAUUUCUGCUACAAAUCCUUACAUCCAACCCUUUGGAGACACAUGCAUCUUAGUUAGGCACAAGAUAAGUAGAAGCCAAAGCUUUUCAUUCGCUAGCGAGGAAGUUCUGUGUGUAAAUCAUGUUCCACUCCUGCUUUUUUUAAAGCAUCACUUCAGAGUUGUUACUUUUCAUGGUAGGUGAAAUGCAUUUGGCAGAUACACAGGAUUUUCCCCAGUGUCAAACAGGUUAUUUACAACUUCAGAAAGGAAUGGAAUGUUGCUUCCUCGCAAGACUCCUUGAACUCAGCAUUAUCAUUUAUCGUCAUCCAUGCUGAGUAGCCAGAACCUUCACUGUCAUAAGAAUGAACCAAGCAGCCCUAUAGCUCUCCUAUGCUAAUAUUAAUUCAUAUCAUACAGCAUUGGAUAACUACAGUAAGUUUGAAGAGUAUGUGUCAUAUUGGACUCUGCUGCAAACCUUCAGACUCACAGAUUGUUGAAAUACAUGCCUCAGUUUCCCUAACUGCAAAAUACAGACCAUGAUACCUGCCUGCCCCAGGCAGUGUUGUGGCGAUUGACUCUAAGUAAGGAACUUUUUAUCCCUGGAGACAUUUUUGGAGUUAUUUUUGCAGCUUGAAGGUUACUUUUGGAGGAACCCCUGUCUGAGGACCGUCAGUGACACCCUAUGCUGCAGGAACUGUGAGGAAGGGGUGUGGAAAAAGGUAUAUGUAAUAGUGGGGUUCUGUACUGGGAACUCAGAAUUGUAUCUCAGCCCAGGGCGAUAUAAAAAAACCAUGAACAGUGAAAAUCAUCUAAAUUCAACAUUGCUAACAUGAAACUUUUUCAUGUUCAUAGGGUCAAAAUAAAAUGCUUUGUGUAAAAAUUGUGAAAAUGUUCCUUUUUAUUUGAGAUGGUUUGUGGAGAAGCAUGGAAAGGAUUGGACUAUUUAUUUGCAGCAUUCAGUACAUCAUUCAGGGUAGGUAAGGGAAGGGGAAGCAGUUACGAAUCGUGACAAGUUUGUGUGGUUUAGUAUAAUUGGAAAUGAAACAGAAAACUGAACAAUGUGAAAAAUCAGAGAACAAAAUCUAGUAGAUAUCCAGUUCUGGUUUCAAUGAUAUAGGCAAAUUUUCACAAUUGUUUUAUUUUUUCAUUUGUAUUUUGCCUUUUUGAUUGAUCCUAGUAAAAACUGCACUUCCUUACACUUUUCAAACUAGUUGUUAGCAUUGAUAGGCAAGUUAUGGGGGUUUUGGUUCCUUGUAUCCCAUGCUUUUGUGACUAUACUGAUAACUGGGUUUGACCAUGAGCUCCCACUAAACUGUUUCCUUGGAUUUCUGCUGACUUCUCAUGGACAAGAGCAUGUUUGCCCCUAUUUGCAUCUUUGCCCUUCAGUCCUUGAGAUAUGUGAUGUACUUAGGAUCAGGAAAAGUCAAUGAGCUGCAGCGCCCCAGCUGUCCGUCCCUGCUUUGUGUAAGGGGCCACCCUGAACUUUGUUUAAGUGUAACGUCAAUGGUUUUGGAGUCACCACUUGAUAUAGGUGGGAUCAUAGAAUCAUAGAAUGAUAGAAUAGUUUGGGUGGGAAGGGAUCCUUGAAGCGCAUGUAGUCCAACCCCCUGCCGUGAGCAGGGACAUCUUCACACAGAUCAGGUUGCUCAGAGCCCCGUCCAGCCUGGCCUGGGAUGUCUCCAGGGAUGGGGCAUCCACCACCUCUCUGGGCAACCUGGGACAGGGUUUCACCACCCUCACUGUAAAAAAUGUCUUCCUCAUGUCUGAACCUCCUCUCCUUUAGUUUAAACCCAUCACCCCUUGUCCUGUCACAACAGGCCUUGCUAAAAAGUCUGUCCCCAUCUUUCUUACAGGCUCCUUUUAAGCACUGAAAGGCCACAAUAAGGUCUCCCCGGAGCCUUCUCUUCUUCUAGGCUGAACAACCCCAACUCUCUCAGGCUGUUCUCACAGGAGAGCAGUUCCAGCCUCUGAUCAUUUCUGCGGCUCCUCUGGACCCUCAUCCAUUUUAGGAUUGGUUCUUCUGCUCUGGUGUUUUUCACAGUUCAGCUUCAGACAUCAGCCUGCACCGUAGGACUGUUAUUGACCUCUCCAGUUUGCUGAUCACUUGCACCAUGGUAUUUUUCAACAUCCAGGAGAACUCAGUACUUCUGCUAUAAAGAAUCUGGACAUAAAGACCAGCCUGCAUAUUUGGGUCCCUGAAUUACUUCAUUUUGAGAAAAAAGCUGUGUACUAUUGGGUAAGGUUCUGAAACAUAAUUUAGAAGCAGCAGCAGCAGAAAAACUAUCCUGAAGUAGGGAAAGACAUGUUUCUUGAACAUUAUUCAUUUGGAUCAUGGAGCUAUAGAGAAGCAGUUACUGAUAUGAUGCUGUUCACGUGUGAGAGUACCAAAUGGACACUCUUCAAGGAGUCAGCUCCAUCUUCCCUAAGUCAUCACUAUGCUCUUACUAGGCCAUAUUUUUGAGAGAAUUGCUCAGCAUGUGUGUGAGCUUUCCUUGUCCUAAAUUCUUUUAAGCUGCAUGUUUGUUCUGGAGUGAAAAUUGGAGACACUGUAGCCCAUGAGUUGCUGUGAAAGCAUUGAAACAACAUUCCUCACUUUUAGGGGACUAGUGUGGUGGCAUGCAGGAAUCUAAUGUUCCAUGCAAUUUAUGAUUUUCCAGUUUAUUGAAGAAAUAAUUCUGUUUAUUUGCAGGCUUAUGAACUUGCAGUCUUGAAUGCACAAUACUGCAAGUCACAAAUCUUUUUAUCUCUCCAUCAUUCUGUCUUAAAUGAAGAAGUAUUAUAUAUUGUUAAGAUGCUGAUCUCCAAGAGUUUGUGAAAAAUUUUUUUUUGAGUUGUAAUGUAAUUUUAAAAUGUUGAACAUUUAUUAUUAAAAUUGUUUUUUCAAAAAGAUAAAA